rnacentral:pre_miRNA from 1 species
AAAAAGAUAAACCUUGAUUUUCGUGCCCAACGUUUGAUCAUUCAUCUUAUUUGAAAAAAAUAUAAAAAAAAUUAAAAAGAUAAGUUACGCAUAAAAUAUUAAUCAUGUUUUAUCAUCUAACAACAAUGAAAAUACGAAUUAUAAAAAAAUCAUAUAAGACGGACAAUCAAAGUUGGACACGGAAACCUAGGGUUUGCCUUUUU